rnacentral:rRNA from 1 species
AGAGCGAACGCUGGCGGCAGGCCUAACACAUGCAAGUCGAACGGACUCUUCGGAGUUAGUGGCGGACGGGUGAGUAACACGUGGGAACGUGCCUUUAGGUUCGGAAUAGCUCCUGGAAACGGGUGGUAAUGCCGAAUGUGCCCUUCGGGGGAAAGAUUUAUCGCCUUUAGAGCGGCCCGCGUCUGAUUAGCUAGUUGGUGAGGUAAAGGCUCACCAAGGCUACGAUCAGUAGCUGGUCUGAGAGGAUGACCAGCCACAUUGGGACUGAGACACGGCCCAAACUCCUACGGGAGGCAGCAGUGGGGAAUCUUGCGCAAGUGGGACGAAAAGCCUAGACGC